UUUUUUUUUUGCUUCUUCGAUGCUGUCUUCUUCUCCUUCUUAUCUGAUCUCUCUGGUUAUUUAUUUAUUUUUUUGCUGUCUCUUUUUUUUUUACUUCUCUUCGAUGCUGGCUUCUUCUUUUGUCUCUGUUAGGGGAAAAAAAAAAGGCACAAAUAAUGAAUUCAUCACACAUUACAUUACACUAAAAUUGUUUUUUUAUUCAUUUGUUGUGUAGAAAAUGACAUCUGAAAGUAGUAGAAAAAGUGCAUUUUGAUGGUGUCUUAAUCAAUUUUUUUUUUGAGUGUAUCUCGAAGCCGUUUUAAGUGCAAUUUGAAGCUGUCCAAGGUAUUUUGACGCCAUCCAAGGUCUAGUGCAUUUUAAUACAUAUGCAAUGGUUCUAAACACAUUUUAAUGCUAUCUAGCAUGCUAUUUAAGUGCAUUAUGAUAAGCACAUUUUGAUAUCAAGCAUGCUCACAAGUGCAUUUUGAUAAGCGCAUUUUGAUGCUAUCUAGCAUGCUCUUAAUUGCAUUUUGAUAUCAUUUACCAAGUGCAUUUUGAUACCCAUCUUUCAUGGUCUUAAGUGCAUUUUGAUGGUGUCUUCAUAAGUUUUUUUUGUAGUGUAUCUUGAAGCCAUUUUAAGUGCAAUUUGAAGCCGUCCAAGUUAUUUGGACGCCAUCAAAUAUUGAGCUGCUUGCAAUCUGAAAGGAUAUUUUGAUGCGAUGAUCCAACUUUGCGCUACUUUCUGAUUUGACGAUAUCUAGCAUGGCUUUAAGUGUAUUUUGAUGCUGUCCAAUUGCAUUUCAACUCCAUUCGGCACAAAAUGGCGAGCAGUUAGCAAAGCGGGUUUCAACUCCAAGCCGUUUUAAGUGCAAUUUGAAGCCGUCCAAGGUAUUUUGAUGCCGUCAAAUAUCGAGCUGCAUGCAAUCUGAAAGGAUGUUUUGAUGCGAUGAUCCAACUUUGCUCUACUUGCCGAUUUGACGAUAUCUAGCAUGGCUUUAAGCAUAUUUUUUGAUGCCGUCCAAUUGCAUUUCAACUCCAUUCGGCACCAAAUGGUGAGGAGUUAGCAAAGUAGGUUUUGUGCCCCAAAAGAGCCCCAAAAAUUCCUUACCGCGAUUUUGUGCCCCAAAAGUUUCCUUAUUGGGUUCUCUAAUUUUUUGUUGCACUUUUCUAUGUAUAUAUAAUAUAAUUGGUCUUAAAUAUUGUUAUUUAUUUAUUUUUAAAUC